rnacentral:rRNA from 1 species
UACGAGGGGAGCAAGCGUUGUUCGGAUUUACUGGGCGUAAAGGGUGCGUAGGCGGCGCGGUAAGUCGGGUGUGAAAUCUUGGAGCUUAACUCCGAAACUGCAUUCGAUACUGCCGUGCUUGAGGACUGGAGAGGAGACUGGAAUUUACGGUGUAGCGGUGAAAUGCGUAGAUAUCGUAAGGAAGACCAGUGGCGAAGGCGGGUCUCUGGACAGUUCCUGACGCUGAGGCACGAAGGCCAGGGGAGCAAACGGG